AAAAAAAAAAAAUUAAAUAACGUUAAAAACAAAAGGCAUAAAAGUAAAAAUAAGAAACAUAAUGUAUAAAAAUAAAGAGUAAACAAAAAAACAUGUAAGGUGUAAUUUUCUCUAUAUUUAAUAAAUAAAAUAUAUCAAAACUAGUUAUAUAUGUGUUUACACUUAAUUUUAGUAUGCAGAGUGCAUUAAAUUUGGGGACGUCC
rnacentral:lncRNA from 1 species